UACGAAGGGGCUAGCGUUGCUCGGAAUUCACUGGGCGUAAAGGGUGCGUAGGCGGGUCUUUAAGUCAGGGUGAAAUCCUGGAGCUCAACUCCAGAACCUGCCUUUGAUACUGAAGAUCUUGAGUUCGGGAGAGGUGAGUGGAACUGCGAGUGUAGAGGUGAAAUUCGUAGAUAUUCGCAAGAACACCAGUGGCGAAGGCGGACUCGACUGG
rnacentral:rRNA from 1 species